GACAGAGGAUGCAAGCGUUAUCCGGAAUGAUUGGGCGUAAAGCGUCUGUAGGUGGCUUUUUAAGUCUGCCGUCAAAUCCCAGGGCUCAACCCUGGACAGGCGGUGGAAACUACCAAGCUGGAGUACGGUAGGGGCAGAGGGAAUUUCCGGUGGAGCGGUGAAAUGCGUAGAGAUGUGGAGGAACACCGAUGGCGAAGGCAGCCCCCUGGGCUGAGAUUGACGCUCAGGCACGAAAGCGUGGGGAGCAAACAGG
rnacentral:rRNA from 1 species